UGGGGAAUUUUGGACAAUGGGCGAAAGCCUGAUCCAGCAAUGCCGCGUGUGCGAAGAAGGCCUUCGGGUUGUAGAGCACUUUUGUCCGGAAAGAAAUCCGCCUGGCCAAUACCCGGGCGGGAUGACGGUACCGGAAGAAUAAGCACCGGCUAACUACGUGCCAGCAGCCGCGGUAAUACGUAGGGUGCGAGCGUUAAUCGGAAUUACUGGGCGUAAAGCGUGCGCAGGCGGCUUUGUAAGACAGAUGUGAAAUCCCCGGGCUCAACCUGGGAACUGCAUAUGUGACUGCAAGGCUAGAGUGCGUCAGAGGGAGGUGGAAUUCCGCGUGUAGCAGUGAAAUGCGUAGAGAUGCGGAGGAACACCGAUGGCGAAGGCAGCCUCCUGGGAUGACACUGACGCUCAUGCACGAAAGCGUGGGGAGCAAACA
rnacentral:rRNA from 1 species